rnacentral:rRNA from 1 species
GACGAACGCUGGCGGCGUGCUUAACACAUGCAAGUCGAACGGAAAGGCCCUGCUUUUUUGGUGUGCUCGAGUGGCGAACGGGUGAGUAACACGUGAGUAACCUGCCCUUGACUUUCGUAUAACUUCAGGAAACUGGGGCUACUACCGUAUCGGAGCUCCUGCUCCAUGGUGGGGGUUGGAUAUUUUCGGCUGUUGGGGAUGGACUCGCGGCUUAUCAGCUUGUUGGUUGGGUAGUGGCUUACCAAGGCUUUGACGGGUAGCCGGCCUGAGAGGGUGACCGGCGACAUUGGGACUGAGAGACGGCCCAGAGUGCUACGGGAGGCAGCAGUGGGGAAUAUGGCACAAUGGGCGGAAGUCUGAGGAAGAAACGUCGCGGGCGGGAUGACGGCCUGCGGGUUGUAAACAGCUGUCGCCUGUGACGAAGCGGGAGUGACGGUAAUGGGUAAAGAAGCACCGGCUAACUACGUG